UGAAAUUUUCCACACAAAUUCAACAACAAUUCAGAAAAAAAUAAAAUCAACUAAAAGAAUUUGGAACAAGAAUUUUCAAAACUUUCAACUCCUCUGUUCUUCUGUUUCGGCCACCACCACAACCACCUCACAGCCACCCCGUCCCACUUUCCGACCACCUUUCGCGAGCCCACACCCAGCCGCACCUUCCCGCACCCUGUCGCGCCCAGCACCACCUCUCUCGCGUCUCCUUCGACUCCCCCCUGCACACUCGUCUCUCUCUCUCUCCUCCGCGACACCACCGCACAUCAGCCCCUCACCUUUCUGCCGUCACUAUUGCCGUCGCCGUCACCGCCGCGAACUGCCGCCACCAGCAGGCCUCCGUCGCUGACCCACAUUCUUUCUCUCGCUCCUGCGUGUGUGUUACUGAACUCGUUCCUCGGAGCUCAGUAAGGACGAUAUCAAGGACAUAAGAAGGGGAUUAUUAUUAUUCUGCAAUCAAGGUACUGCUGGGGACGAUGGUACUGCGUAGUGGCAAGGAUUACCACCUUAUUAAAUCAUCUAGUAAUAGUGCUACUAACUUGUAAGGUUAACUUAACUAGAAUGUAAGACCAUAUACUUUAAUAUAAAUUAUCAUUGUCAUGUCAUGUAAC